AUUGAACGCUGGCGGCAUGCUUUACACAUGCAAGUCGAACGGCAGCGCGGGCUUCGGCCUGGCGGCGAGUGGCGAACGGGUGAGUAAUACAUCGGAACGUGCCCAGUAGUGGGGGAUAGCUCGGCGAAAGCCGGAUUAAUACCGCAUACGACCUGAGGGUGAAAGCGGGGGAUCUUUGGACCUCGCGCUAUUGGAGCGGCCGAUGGCAGAUUGGCUAGUUGGUGGGGUAAAGGCCUACCAAGGCGACGAUCUGUAGCUGGUCUGAGAGGACGACCAGCCACACUGGGACUGAGACACGGCCCAGACUCCUACGGGAGGCAGCAGUGGGGAAUUUUGGACAAUGGGCGAAAGCCUGAUCCAGCAAUGCCGCGUGUGUGAUGAAGGCCUUCGGGUUGUAAAGCACUUUUGGCGGGAACGAAAAGGACUGUGCCAAUACCACGGCUCGAUGACGGUACCCGCAGAAUAAGCACCGGCUAACUACGUG
rnacentral:rRNA from 1 species